CUUAACAAUUGGAUUAAGAGUGUCUUAAUUCAACUCUAUGCUCGCAGAGGAGAUGCUGUACUUGAUCUUGCGUGUGGCAAGGGGGGUGAUCUCAUCAAAUGGGGCAAGGCCAAAAUUGGAUAUUAUGUUGGCAUCGAUAUCGC